AGAUCCAAGCUUACUCUGGAGAAAAGAGAAAAAUACUGACUGUUACAUCAUCCUGAAACCAUCAGAUACCUGUGUUGUGUCAAUUGAGAUCACGGGAGCAGACCCAGGAGAACACACUGCAUACGGAAGACCUUAUCAGAAUCCCUUGAACUCAGGGAACAAAAGUGGAUUUUAAUAGAAAAUUAAACUACAUCCCAAGUACUUGAAGGCAUCCAGAAGGAAAGCUGUCCAGGUAAAGAGUGCUACUCCCACUGUGGCGGGGAAAAAAUCCCACACAGUUACAAUGUCUUGUUUUGCUGUUUGACUGCACUCAUGAUAAAUUAAACACAUAUGAACAAA